rnacentral:rRNA from 1 species
AAAAGAUGUCAAUUAGCUGUUGGGGCCUUCGGGCCUUAGUAGCGCAGCUAACGCGUGAAGUUGACCGCCUGGGGAGUACGGUCGCAAGCUUAAAACUCAAAGGAAUUGACGGGGACCCGCACAAGCGGUGGAUGAUGUGGAUUAAUUCGAUGCAACGCGAAAAACCUUACCUACCCUUGACAUGUCUGGAAUCCCGAAGAGAUUUGGGAGUGCUCGCAAGAGAACCGGAACACAGGUGAUGCAUGGCUGUCGUCAGCUCGUGUCGUGAGAUGUUGGGUUAAGUCCCGCAACGAGCGCAACCCUUGUCAUUAGUUGCUACGAAAGGGCACUCUAAUGAGACUGCCGGUGACAAACCGGAGGAAGGUGGGGAUGACGUCAAGUCCUCAUGGCCCUUAUGGGUAGGGCUUCACACGUCAUACAAUGGUCGGGACAGAGGGUUGCCAACCCGCGAGGGGGAGCCAAUCUCAGAAACCCGAUCGUAGUCCGGAUCGCAGUCUGCAACUCGACUGCGUGAAGUCGGAAUCGCUAGUAAUCGCGGAUCAGCAUGUCGCGGGGAAUACGUUCCCGGGUCUUGUACACACCGCCCGG